rnacentral:rRNA from 1 species
UACGUAGGUGGCAAGCGUUGUCCGGAUUUACUGGGCGUAAAGAGCGCGCAGGCGGUCGGAUAAGUCGAAUGUGAAAGCCCCCGGCUCAACUGGGGAGGGUCAUUCGAUACUGUUCGACUCGAAGGCAGGAGAGGGAAGUGGAAUUCCCGGUGUAGUGGUGAAAUGCGUAGAUAUCGGGAGGAACACCGAAGUGGCGAAGGCGACUUCCUGGCCUGUUCUUGACGCUGAGGCGCGAAAGCUAGGGGAGCAAAC